GCAGUCUCGGCUAUACUUCAACCCAGACAUCAACGAAGCAAAUAGCUUGAUAUAUGGUUCAGGGAGCUUCGACGCUUGCUCCGACCAAAGAAGUCUUUCAAGCUAGAUUUUCUUUCCAUAUGAUACCUAGAACUGGCAUUGGCUGAGUUUGCGGUUAAAAAAAAGAGCCAGCAAGGAGAUGGAGUUUGCGAAGCACACGUUCGACCAUGACAACCCCAAGCAUGUGUCCCCAUACUUGAUGACGAGGCUACCAGGUGAAUACCACUCAUGAGAUGUGUGAGCUCUAGCGAAGAGGAUAAGUAGAAGCAUAGAACACAUAUUUGUCAUUAGGGACACGCGAGGAUGUUGUUGCAACAUCCGGGCACAUUUACUUAAAAAUAAAUAGAUUUCAAAAGACAUGUGUUAUAUUUGAGAGACGUGCGUUGCACGUGCACGCUUACUAGUAUGGGCAGGGAGGAAAAGAGGCAGCGGCAGCCGCCAGCGCCCAACGCGUAUCCCCUCAAAUCACGAGUUAAUCCCGUCGGGGACCAGGGUAAUAACGCCAUGGACAAUAGUACUAGUUUUUUUAAGGGGUAAACCACACUUUAUUCAAUGUUUGGAGUAUGAUUUACAGGAAUUACAAACGGGUCGUGGGGAGAUCCCAACCACAAGUACCGACCCACAUCUAAAGAAGAAGAAAACUCGAAAAUCCGGGCUCAGAUGCUCCCGCUCAGAAAAAUUUCAAAAUAAAUACUAGAAAAAUUCAAAAAAAAAUCCAAUUUGUUUUUGUGUGGUACAUAAUUUGAUGCGUGAGGUCCACUUCAAAUUUUAACUCAUUUGGAUAUUUGAGCAGCUCUCGGCAAAAAAGACAA